rnacentral:rRNA from 1 species
GUAUCAUGGCUCAGGACGAACGCUGGCGGCGCGCCUAACACAUGCAAGUCGAACGGAGCUGAGAGGAGCUUGCUUUUCUCAGCUUAGUGGCGAACGGGUGAGUAACGCGUGAGUAACCUGCCCUGGAGUGGGGGACAACAGUUGGAAACGACUGCUAAUACCGCAUAAGCCCACGGCCCGGCAUCGGGCUGAGGGAAAAGGAUUUAUUCGCUUCAGGAUGGACUCGCGUCCAAUUAGCUAGUUGG